GGUUCCGCUAAUUCCCUGGUUGCUAAUGAGCUUCAGUCCCAGACCCUGAGGACGCGUCUAAACUUCGGGAGGAGUUUUAGUUUGUGCCCUUUGGCAGGCAGGGGAAAGAUCUUGGUCAUUCUGUGUACUGGGAUGCGUUUCUAGCUCAGUAUAGCACAUCCAGCUCUCAACUGAGCUACUGAAAAGGGGAAGAAAUGAGGCUCCAGGACUAUCCAGACUCGUCUCACGUCAAUUAUCUGGAAGUGAUUCCACAAAUGACUACUGGGUUGCAACCUGCAGUUUAAAAAGCACUGUUCUAAUAUUUGGGCAAUGUCAAGCUACCAAUGUGAAAUCAUUGAACACACUGUUGGGAAGAGAUGCAGACAAUUGGCUUCAGCCUAUAAGAACCAGCUCCAGAACAGCACUUUGAGGACUAAUAGAAAAUAUGGUAUUAUAUUCCUAUUUUUUAUUUGUUAAUUUCUUUUCAUGGGAGAAAGAGGAACACUUACUGGCAGGUCCACACUGCAAAACUCUGUAGGCACUAUUCACAUCUACAUGAAGGAUGGUAUCCAGAGUUUUACAAAGCAUAACUGUUCUUGGUGACCCUACUUCCUAGUACCCCUAAAAUGAUAACAUUAGCUUCCUUUUAAGGCUAGCAUAAGGGUACAAGGCAGAAGAAGUUCUAAAGUUCAGCAUGUAGCAGAAUCACCUGGAAUACUGGUUAAAACUAAAAUUACUGGGCUUUACACUGAGUCUCUGACUCUGUAGGUCUGGAGUGGGGCUUGAUAUUUUGCAUUUCUAAGUUCCCAAAAUGGUGGUGACAUUGUCAACUUAGGGACCACCUUUUAAGGACUGCUGAUAUAGAAUAAACUAAAUGUUUUCUCUGUGACCAGGAAAUACAUGGCUGGGCCACUUAACUAGAAUGCCUGCCUUAGGGAGUAAGGGCUCAGGGUAGAGUGGAGUCCCAAACUCUGAUGCCUAUUGGGGCUUGGCCGGCAACAGAAGUAUGUGUAGUGGCUAGCUGGGGUGUAGAAAAUGUUAUGUUUAGGAUAAAUUUAUUGGUUUUGAGGUUUAGGAUACUUAUAAAGGACAAACUGACCAAAGUCAAGGACACUGAUGGAGUAAGAGCUAGGCACUGAGGCUAGGAGAUGGGGUCGAAAAGAGCAGCCCAGGACCACAGUGUAAAAGAUAUAUUAAAAGAGGAAGAGGGACAGUCUCUAUCCCUCUUUCUUUCUAAUACUCCCUACUUUCACACUUUAAUAUCUGCUUCAGGAUCCUCAAAUUCCAGGGUAUUAAUAGAGACUGUUGGGUGAGAAUUAAAGGUACAGAGGUGUGAGAAGGUGUAUUGGCUUCCACUCAGCACUGGUGUGAAAGGGCUUGCUUAGCUUGCAAGCCUGAUUCCAGAGAAUGUAGUGUCAUGAGCUCUGCACUAGAUGGCAGGGUACCUUAGUGUUCCUGUUCCUUUUCCUCCCUCAAGACAGUGAGCCAGAUCUUUCUCUGGACUUUAUUUUGACUUAUCUGUAAAAUGAGAGCUUUGGGAUAGAUUACACUGAUGAGAGAUAGAAGCAGAAAAAUGUUCACCUUUACCCCAGAAGGCUGACCUAUAGCCUGCAUAGUUUUGAUAAGGAUCAAAUACAUGCUAGUUGCUACAUUCUUUUUUAAAAAUCUUUUUUAAUGUUUAUUUAUAUUUGAGAGAAAGACAGUGUAUGAACGGAGGAGGGGCAGAGAGACAGAGACAGAAUCUGAAAUAGGCUCCAGGCUCCAAUCUGUCAGCACAGAGCCCGAUGUGGGGCUGGAACUCACAAGCAAUGAGAUCAUGACCUGAGUCAAAGUCAGACGUUUAACCGACUGAGCCACCCAGGUGCCCCAGCUAGUUGCUACAUUCUUAAAGGGUCUCAUGACUGCCUGUAAAUCUCACCUAUAGUUAAUAUCUAACUGAAUGAUAAGCACCAGAGAAAUCUUGUGGAGGUAGUUUAAUGAGUAGAAAUUCGAAGAAAACAUGGUCUGAUACUCCCUGCAUGUCCCCUUCCCCUUGAGCACUAAGCAUAUAACUACCAGCUUCAUACAGAAGAAGUGAAGCUCUUUCUGCCCACGGGUCCUGUCCCCAUGCUACUUAAAUAAACUUACUAAUAUGUAUCAUAAAACAUCUCAAGAAUUCUUUCCUGAUUGAUGCAUUCAGUGAUCACUCAACAACAUCAUCAGGCCACUUCUAUGAGCUCUACAUGCCAAGGUGUGGUUCCUCUUGGAGGCUGGUUUUGGAAUUAAGGACUGGAGACAUUUUUUGAGUACCAGGAUACUGGACUAAUGAGCUUGCUGCCUCCCCAUAACUGACUACUAUCUUGGCAAGGAUGGACUUUCCACUCUUCCCUCUCCACUACCACCCUAGUCCCAGCAGUCACACUUCCAGUCAUCUAAGGGGCCCCAGCUAAGUACCAAACCCUCAUUGCCAUCAUACCCUGUGCUUAGUGUGUGUGUGUGUGUGUGUGUGUGUGUGUGUGUUUGAGGGGUGUGGGAUAGCCCAUAGGGCAUAAUGCUAAAAUGGAUUAAGAAGCUAACAACCCAAGAUUUGAACACUUACCUCCCCAUCUUUAACAUGGGCUAUGUCUUAUCAUGCCAGAGUUGUAAUACAUGCAAAUGAGUUGACAAAACAUUUCUCAGGAGUAUUGAAGUAUUGUAAGCAAAGAGCUGGAUCCAGAGUCAACCAGUCUGGGCUUGAAUCCUAUCUAGGCCACUUUUCAGUUCUUUGACCUUGAGCUAUUUAUCUCACUCAGCCUCAGAGUUUUCAUUUGUAACAUUUUUUUGGCUAAUAAUAUCCACUAGACCAGGAUUCUCAACCUCAGCACUAUUGACAUUGAUGUAAAUAAUUCCUUAUUGGAGUUGUCUUGUGCAUUGAGGGAUGUUUAACAGCAUCCCUGAUUCCUAUCCACAAGAUGUCAGUAGCACUCUCCACCCCCCCAAGUUGUGACAAUAAAAAUGACAUCCCAUUCAUUGCCAAAUGUCCCCAGUGGGUAAACCACCUCAGUUGAGAAGCACUCUCCUAGAACAUGGAGUUACUGGGGAGAAUGGAAUAUACAAGCACAUUGCAUUUUUUUUUUAAAUUGGUAUAACUGACUUUUAUUUUUUUUAAUUUAAUUUUUAAUUUUAAAAAUUUACAUCCAAAUUAGCAUAUAGUACAACAGUGAUUUCAGGAGUAGAUUCCUUAGUGCCCUUUACCCAUUUACCCCAUGCCCCCUCCCACAACCCCUCCAGUAACCCUCAGUUUGUUCUCCAUAUUUAUGAGUCACUUCUAUUUUGUCUCCCUCUCUGUUUUUAUAUUAUUUUUGUUUCCCUUCCCUUAUGUUCAUCUGUUUUGUCUCUUAGAGUCCUCAUAUGAGUGAAGUCAUGAUACUUGUCUUUCUCUGACUAAUUUCACUUAGCAUAAUACCCUCCAGUUCCAUCCAUGUAGUUGGAAAUGGCAAGAUUUCAUUAUUUUUGAUUGCCGAGUAAUACUCCAUUGU